rnacentral:snoRNA from 1 species
CCUGCCCCUAGCUGCAGGUGCGGCUGCUGUGUCAUGUGUGCGUCAGUGGGUGGCAGAGAGGACAGAGGCUGUGUCUACACUCAGUGUUCUGACCUUGAACAUCUGAAUCGUUAGUAGCCUGACACU